rnacentral:rRNA from 1 species
GAACGCUAGCGGCAGGCCUAAUACAUGCAAGUCGAACGAGAUUUGUUUUAGCAAUAGAACAUGAAAGUGGCGCACGGGUGCGUAACACGUAUGCAAUCUACCUUUAAUAGGAGAAUAGCUUCGAGAAAUCGGAAUUAAUACUCCAUAAUAUAAUUGAGUGGCAUCACUUGAUUAUCAAACCUCCGGGGGAUUAAAGAUGAGCAUGCGCAACAUUAGCUAGUUGGUAAGGUAAUGGCUUACCAAGGCUACGAUGUUUAGGGGGUCUGAGAGGAUGAUCCCCCACACUGGUACUGAGACACGGACCAGACUCCUACGGGAGGCAGCAGUAGGGAAUAUUGGGCAAUGGAGGCAACUCUGACCCAGCCAUGCCGCGUGUAGGAAGAAUGCUCUCUGGGUUGUAAACUACUUUUAUACGGGAAGAAAAAAUACUACGUGUAGUAUACUGACGGUACCGUAAGAAUAAGGAUCGGCUAACUCCGUG